rnacentral:rRNA from 1 species
GACGUAGGGGGCCAGCGUUGCUCGGAAUUACUGGGCGUAAAGGGUCCGUAGGCGGUGCGGUAAGUCGGGAGUGAAAUCUCUGGGCUUAACUCAGAGGCUGCUUCCGAAACUACCGUGCUAGAGUGCGAGAGAGGCAAGUGGAAUGCGGGUGUAGCGGUGAAAUGCGUAGAUAUCCGCAGGAACAUCCGAGGCGAAAGCGGCUGCUGGAUCGCAACUGACGCUGAGGGACGAAAGCUAGGGGAGCAAACAGG